rnacentral:rRNA from 1 species
CAGCAGCCGCGGGAACACGUAGGUGGCAAGCGUUGUUCGGAAUUAUUGGGCGUAAAGGGCUCGCAGGCGGUUUCUUAAGUCUGAUGUGAAAGCCCCCGGCUCAACCGGGGAGGGUCAUUGGAAACUGGGAAACUUGAGUGCAGAAGGGGAGAGUGGAAUUCCACGUGUAGCGGUGAAAUGCGUAGAGAUGUGGAGGAACACCAGUGGCGAAGGCGACUCUCUGGUCUGUAACUGACGCUGAGGAGCGAAAGCGUGGGGAGCGAACAGGAUUAGAUACCCGCGUAGUCCCUGUCUCUUAUAC